UGCGCAUGCGCCCGGGGAAGAUGGCCUGGGUAGAGAGGAGAGACGGGGGUGGGGCAAGUGUAACCCCAGUUCCAAAGACCGUUGGUAUGGGACUCUCUCCUUCUUGGUGGAGAUCAGUGUUCCUGUGUGAAGGGAAGAACAGAAUUUCCAAGAAAGCAGAAAGGAGUCUUCUCAACUCUUUAAGCCCCGACUCCCUUCUGGAGCUUCUGGCUUCCAUCUUUUUGAGGCCUUCAUGACCACAAACCUGGGCCUCAGGAAUAGCUUCUUAACAGUCUCACAAGGCUAGACCUGGUCCUCACCAGAUCGUCCAUGGCAGCUCAUGAAGAGUCUACUGCUGAAGUGUGGAAUCAACAGCCCAUAUCCCUUUAGGAACAACCCACAUGGGCCAUAGAAAUGGAAAAAACCCAUUCCUCUUCAUUUUACAGAUGAGGAAACCGAGGCUCUUAGGGUUUAAACAAUUUGCUUAGGGUCAUUCGGCUUGGCAAUAUCACCACAUUAACCCUAAAUGAUAUUUCUAUAGUGAUUUAGAAUUUGCAAAUUGCCUUGUAUGUGCCUUCUCAUUUGCCCUAGGUUCAACCACUCUGUGAGGUAAGUAGGUAUUAUUAGCUCCAUUUUAUAGAAGAGGAAAAUGAAAUUCGGAGAAGGUGCAGUGAUUUGCUCAAAGUCAUUCUUGGUGAGUUGUGGAGGUGGAUUCAAACCCAGGCUUCUUUCCAUUGACAAAUUCUGGAUUCUAUCUGUGCUAUACCAUGGGUAGCUGAGCAAUGGAUGAAAUGAAGGAUCUUUUGAAGCAGCAGUAGCAGAGACCAUAAAUGUUAAGACUGUGUAACAGCUAAAGGGAUAAUAAUAAUACAUCUAUAAAUUACUAAGGCAAUGGAAAAGGCAAGGAUGCUUUUAAUCCACACAGAAUUAUCAUCAAUAACAAAUCAUGUAUUUCACCUCUGAAUCCCUGGGAGAUAGGGAAGGAUCAGGAGUUGGACCACUGAGGCAGCCUGGAGUAGUAGAGAGUCCUACGUUAGAAGUCAAGAGACUAGGCUUCAAGUCUCAGCCUGGCCACUAUGUUUCCCCACCAACCUCCCUUCACUUUGGGACUUCUCUAUUACUGUUGAGGGCAACACCAUCCUUUCAAUCACCAAAGUUCUUAAUCUAGGUGUCAUCCUGGAACCCUUGCUCUGUUAUUUUCAAUUUAUUUCCAUCUGCUAUAGUGGUGAGGGUGGUGAGAAAGGGAAGGAUUAAGAGCCCAAUCUUUUUUUUUCCUACCAGACCUAUGAUUUCAUUGAACUCUUGGUGAUAAACUUCCCCUACCAACGUGCACACAAAAGCACCUGCUCUGCAAUCUGUAGUCUUAGAGUUGUCUGGGGGCACUAAGAAGUUAACUCACUUAACCAAGGUCACACAACCAAUAUGAAUCAAAACCUAAUACUCUUAAAAAAAAAAUCAAUCAACUGCCUACUGGAUAUUUUCACCUGACUAUUCUGCAGUAUUCUGAAAGUCAGUAUGUCCAAAACUGAACUCACUUCAUUUUUCUCCCAAAUCCAUCCCUUUUCCUAACCUCCUUGUCCCUGUCCUGUGAACCGUCAUUCUUUAAGUCAUAUAGGUUUGCAACCUUGGAAAUAUCCUUCAUUCCUCCUUCUCCCUAAUCUUCCACAUCCAAUCUGUUUCCAAGUUCUGUUGGUUCUACCUAUAUAACCUUUCUUGCUUUACUCCUCCUCUCCACUCAUUCAGCCACCACCAUAAUUUAGGCCAUCAUUGCCUCUCUUAUGGACUAUUGCAAUAGCAUUCUAAUCUUCCUACAUAACGUGACCCCUUAUCAAUCCAUCUUCCACGCAGCGGUCAAAGUGGUAUUUGUAAAAUACUCCAGUGGCUCCCUAUUACCUCUAGGACCAAAUACAAAUGCUUUUGUUUGGCAUUGACACUGCAUUUCCAUCUGUCCCCAACCUACUUUUUUAUACAUUAUAUUCUUCUUGCACUUUAUAGUCCAGCCGAACUGGCCUUCUGGGUAUUCUUCAUACAGACAUUCCAUCUCUCGUAGCAUAGACGAUCUACCAUUUCUAGAAUGUGCUCCUCCUUUACCUUCACCUUUUAAAACCCCUAGUUUGCUUCAUUAUUCAAAUCUAACAUUACCUCCAACAUAAGGCUUUUCCUGAUCCUCCCAUCUACUAAUGUUCCCUUCCCCCAAUUACCACGUCUAUUUUGUAUAUAUUUUGUAUGUUGUCUCCCCCAGUAGAAUGUAAGCUCCUUAAGAGCAGGAACUGUCUUUUGUCACUGUAUUCUCAAUGGAAUGACUGAUUAAAGCAAAAA